UAAGUCACAUGCCCAAAAUAACAGUGGAAUGAUUCCUUUGAUGAUUUGUGGAUAGUUGUCGAAAUGGGACCGUUGGAUAAUUCUCAUUUCCACCCAUCCAUCCGGUAGUCGGAUUAUCAAACAAGUUUAAUAUAACUUAAAUUAUUCAUUCGCCUCAAGUGCAAUUUGUAAGUUAUUCCCAAGUGCAUGCAUAUCAACCAUCACUGGGAGUACCGAAUCCAUACGGAUUAGGUACUAUCCGUUUGUAUUGAGCGCCCUUUGCUCUUGACAUGUCAAGAUUUGAUUGGAUGGUGAGCUGGUGUAGGUGAUAACGAUAGGGCUCAUGCAAUCACGCAUGUUUAAAAAUUGUUCGGUUGAAUAUGUAUUCGAAUGACCCAUCUCUAAUACCAUCUUCUUUGUAACAAUGACUAGCGGUCUAAUCAAAUUCUCCUCCAUUAAGAGCUAUACUUUGAGGAAUACAAUAGUUGUAGUACAAAAGUUGAAAAUAAAGUUGCAUCUAUCAAAGGAGGUGGGUGUAGAUAGUGUCUUAUUUUCUAGAACUUCUCAUUAUUUGUAUUUUCUUUUAAACGAAUGGAUUAAGAAAAGGAGAGAAGCAAUAAAAUGAAAGAAGAAAUGAGCUUUUUUAUCUUU